GCAAAAUAGACCGAUAUGCCGAUAAACAAAUUCAAAAUAUAAUUAUCACGGUCGAUACCUUUGUAUGUAAUAUAAACCUCUUAGUUAUCAGAGGAUUACCAAGUGGCUCGUUAACUUAGUUGGUGAAGCAUUCGUUUAGCAUACAAGAGUCGUGGGCAAGGGGUGGAUCACUUGUUCGAUGCACAUCUAAUGUACAUCGAUUUGCAUUAAAUGCAUUUUUUCGAUAAAUUCAUCAACUUAGCCCUGGACCAUACCAUUGUAUCGUGCUAUGGCAACAAGUCAUUAUCUCGAUCAAAAUGCAAGCAAACAAAUCCCCAAAUUUAGAUGCCUGAUUAGUGCUGUUUAUAUACCAUUGAUUCAUUAGGCAUCUGAUUUUCCAUGGAUUUCAAUAACGAUCUAUAGAUAAUGUAAGAUGUACAGUGGGGAAAUGAUGAUUGACUGCAGUACUCCUGUGACUAGUCAGGAUUAAUUGGAACCCUCAAGAUUUCCUUCCAGAUAAACCUAGAGUCUUUGGCUUAGUGGGGACAAAUAGAAAUCCUUAUCGAUUCUUAAAUCAAGGAAAUCCAAAUAAAACAAAUGUAAUACUA